GACAACACAGUGGGAUGGGCAAACUGAGAGACAGAGACCCAAGACAUUUGCAGUUUACUUAAGGUCACACAGUUAUUUUAUGUAUCUGCCUCAUUUUCAUCUUAUUUCAUUUAUCCUUCACAGUAGUCUUAGAGAGUAAUUUCCCGACCUACAGAUAAGGAUAUUGAGUUUCAGAAAUAGUAUGUUCUUACAACAAUAACAGAUUCAAAACUAGGUUGACCUAUCUCAAAAACUCUUGCAAUUUUUCCCUAUACCUUGUGGAGUUCUAGCACAUAAUCCCUACUUUGCAAAUUGUACAUUCUCACAUAGGUCAAAUGGAAAGGAUCCCUUCACCCUCAAACCUUUUUCUUCAGAGAAUGAGAAGGAGGCCGUUCUAGAGGAGAGACAAGGGGAGAAGUGAGGUUAAAGAACUGCCCUCUAUUACUCUAAGAUAUUUCCAGACUUAUUUUUCCCUAACCCUGUCCAGACUUAUAUUGUACCCAAAUUAGACUACCACAGUUCCUGGUUUAUACCCUCAGUAUAUGACACCUCAGUCUGUGAUAAAAUAUAAAAAGAAAAUAAAUGUAUUAUUUCUCACUGUUAAACAUGAAACUGUAGUCGGUCCAUGGCUUUUAUACUCACUCUUACAUAAUGUUUGGCAUCAAAAGUUCCAGUCUAGUCUAAUAAUUGUAAAGUUAGAGUCCACUCCAGUAAAGAAAUAAAAUAUCUAGACUCUUAUUCAGUGUCAGACUUUCCCCAUUCCUAGAAUGGAGGCCCGGGGGGAGGAGGGGAAGGGAGCAGGGCUGGUUCUUAAGCAUUUCCUCUUCUGCCUCCUCUCCCACUGUGAGCUCUCUCUGAAGUCAGCCUAGGAAGAGAGGAACUAGAAGAAAGGGGCCAGGCUGCAUAGCUGGUAUAAGGUUAUCUGGCCUCAGUGCCCGCUGGACUAAAGAAGCAUUGCCGACUCUUUCUCUUUUGAACACUUUUGUUGAUUCUUCGGAGUCUCACUCAAGAUCACCAACAAAGCCCCCUGCCCUUGGCAAUGCCCUCCUCUGGGUACCUCUGUUCUGAGCGUCCAUCCAGCAACUCACCAUUUCUUCAUGUAUCAUAACCCACUGGGGCUAUCUUUUUGGAAGAGAUUUCCCUUUAAGAUGACCCAGGUCAACUCACCUUUGAAAGGAGUGUCAUUUUGUCCACAUGACCCAAUUUGAGCGGAAGGGCCUACUACCCCAGUGGAUUCUCUUUUUACCUCUUCACUUUGGAUUUCUCAGACUUAAGUCAAAUGCCAUUGUCUAUCUCCCUCAAUCUCCGGGACACAGAUAUCAAAUAUCAAAAUCUCCUCAGUCUUCGCUCAUUGGCUUGAGGUAAAAGUAAAGCCUCCUCUGUUCCUGUGAGGAGGGAGCAGGGAAUAUCACACAAAGCUCACACAAAGAAACCUCUACUCUCCAACCAUUUUUUCUUAUACCAGCUGGGGUACAUGAUCAAGCUGGCAGACCAUCCUGUUAUCCCUUCACAUGUCAGCACUUCAUCUUAGAAUCUUGGGCAUUGGGUAGGGGGAGGGAAUUGUUCUAGAAUCUUUUAUAUUGUUCUUUGUCUUUGGGUUCCAUUUUAACAACCUGUUACGCAGAUAAUGGGUUUAAGGAGUAGCUGAACUGUGAGAGUGGAAGUCAUCAGGAACCAAGGAAGCUCUUCUCUGUCUUUCCCUCUCUAGAGUCAAACAACUCCUCAACCUGCUCCUCUUUGCUCAUAAUCUACUUUGUUCUCCUCCCUUUCACCAAACUGUCUUUCUUUGUUUCUCUAUGCACAUACAACGACGGCCACACCUCCACUUCCUAUAUUACAUGUUUGCUCCCACAGACCAGCAGAUACUAACUAGUUUGAAUCCCACUUUAAAAUUCUUAGAGAAGAAAGACAAUGGGCCUAGUUUGGACCAGGUGUCUAUCCUUGAUACAAUCACCUUUGUCCAACAAACAGGCUGUCAGAACCCAUCCCUGAGGGCAGGGAAAUUCUCAAAGAAAGGAGAUGCGCAUGGAGAAGCAUACUGCCAUGGGAAGUGACACACGCAUCUUGUGACUACAAAGUAGAACCAGGCUUAAGAAGAAGCUGAACUUGCUAGAGACAGAGAGGCGAUAAAAGGAAACUGAAUCCUUGAAGACAUGACUGAGCAGCUGAGGCAAACCAACCCUGAAGCCAACUUAUAUGUCAACUGUUAAAUGAGCCAAUAAAU
rnacentral:lncRNA from 1 species